rnacentral:rRNA from 1 species
CUGGUUGAUCCUGCCAGUAGUCAUACGCUUGUCUCAAAGAUUAAGCCAUGCAUGUCUAAGUAUAAGUAUUAUACAGCGAAACUGCGAAUGGCUCAUUAAAACAGUUAUGGUUUAUUUGAUAAUCGAAUUUUACAUGGAUAACCGUGGUAAUUCUAGAGCUAAUACAUGCUGGUGUGCCUGACUUUUCGGAAGGGCGGUAUUUAUUAGAUAACGAACCAAUAUUCCUCUGGUCUAUUGUGGUGAAUCAUAAUAACUGAUCGAAUCGCAAAGCCUUUGGCUGCGAUAUGUCAUUCAAGUUUCUGCCCCAUCAGCUUUCGAUGGUAGUGUAUUGGACUACCAUGGCUUUUACGGGUAACGGAGAAUUAGGGUUCGAUUCCGGAGAGGGAGCCUGAGAAACGGCUACCACAUCUAAGGAAGGCAGCAGGCGCGUAAAUUACCCAAUCCUGACUCAGGGAGGUAGUGACAAGAAAUAACGGACCGGCCUUUUAGGCUCGGGAUUGCAAUGAGCCGAAUUUACACCCCUUAGCGAGGACCCAUUGGAGGGCAAGUCUGGU